rnacentral:lncRNA from 1 species
CUGUGGAGAGCUCUAAUAAGAGAAUUAAAUAAUGUAAAAAUUGAUUGAUUUAGUCCCUUCUGCUUAGACGGACACAGCUGCAAGCCUGUAUCACUUUGUGAUCAUCGGAUUCUCAGACGAUAGUUUCUGCUGGUUUUUGGACCAGACCACAAAGGAAAUAGGCAGCCUGGGGUGUGAUGGGGUCCAACUGAACAGUCCAUUAUUUUAGCUCCUGGUCCGCUGGUGUGGAACUGGAGGUGGAGACCAAGCCUUGCAUCUGCUGAGUAAGCCUCCCUGAAACCCCUGCACAAGCCAAGAUUGCCAUUCUCAUUUGCCCUCCAUGAUUAAACACCCAAAACAAGGUAAAGAUCUGAUUAUUAUCUUUAAGACACAUUUAUAAUUUCAUGAAGAAAACGGAAUAGUAUGUUCCAUGUUGUUAGGGGCAUUAAAGACAAAGUUUAGCAGUUAAUAAGGCCAAUUGAGAUGUAAUGGGCUUCAUUUCAGCUGGAAAUAAUAACCCCACCUCACAUAAUUGCACACAGCUGCAAGUCACUGAUCAUUUGUGUGAUGAGGGUGAUCCAUGCUGAAGAAUUAGUGAGGUGCUGCAGAGAGGGUGAGAAGGCAGUUCCAGCAGAGACUGUGUGGAGGUGAGGAGUGCCGUGUCUGACCAAAUGGUCACCAUGACCUCAGGUGACUGCAAAGGAUGCUUCAGCUUAGCUGGGGACAUAACACACCUUCCCUCGUGUCUUACUUGGCUCCUCUUGAAUUUGCAGAAAUAAUGCCCUGUACGGUGAGUACCUGUAGCACAUUGAGAGGCAUAAAGUGUGGUCAUGGCAAUAUCGAAUAUUAAGGCCACCUGGAUUCAAAUCUCAUAUCUACAACUUUAUGGCUUUGUAAUUUUGGGAAAAGUAUUUAAUUCUCUCAUACCUCAAUUAACUUUAAAAUGGGAAUAAUAGUUUUUGGAGAGUUGCUGUAAAGAUUAAAUUCAUUCAUUCAUGUAAUAAUUUACAGUAAUGCCUAGCACAGACCAUGAUUCAAUAGGUGUUACCUGCUUUCUUAAUGGCAGCAGGAGCAGAAACUAUCUGUUUAAAUUCACUAUUCAUUCCUUAUAUCUGCUUCAGAAACAGUGAUCUUCUAUUGAAGAAGAAUAAUUUAAGUAACAUUGUUGUUUAUAUUUAACAAAGUGAAGUAUUUGUAAUAUCUAAAAGGGAUUUAUAAAUGUGGGAUAGUUUGGUAAUUUGCUUUUAUCAUAAAAAAUGCUGAAUUUGUUUACUAAUGCUUUUUAGUGAUUCUGAUAAAUGCCCAGUGCAAAUGUAUUUCUAUUCCUCAGUAAAAUUUUAGUGAUUUCCGCAAGGAAAAACAUUCAACAAUAGCAAAUCAACUAGGGGUAUAUUUUUAUUUUCUUUUAUUAUUAUUAUUUCUUUUUUAAGAAAAGCUACUGUUUAUUGAAAGCUUUCUAUUUGCUGGGGAAUCCUGUGAAGUGCUUUAUAUAUUUUAUCUCACAUCUAAUUCUUCAAACAACUAUGCAAAUAUAAAUUGCUACUCUAUUGCUAAAAACCUGUUAAUAAGAACACGAUAGGUGGUCAGUAGAGCUAAGAGUUGGCUCCCAAUUUCUACACUCACCCUCUUAACCACUGCUUUAGACCAAUUCCUGAGAAGAGUGAAAGGCAGCUUAGUCAGGGGUCCUUGCUCUGUUUUCCUCUGUCCUUUGACCUUGAACCCCGAACUGUCUCCCCCACUAAAAGGCAGGUCACGGUUAUUUGACUUCUUGUUAAUUUUUUGAUACUA